AUGGGAUGCGACCGCCACCAUGUUGUUAGUUUGCUGGUGUUCGUGCUCGUGCUGCUGCUCCGGUGGCCGGCGUUGAGCUCUGCAUGGGCGUCGGUGUCCAGGACCAUCACCGUGGACAAGAAAGGGAGAGGCGAUUUCAGAAGUGUGCAGCCGGCAGUGGACUCCGUGCCUGACGGCAACCGGGAGUGGGUCAAGAUCCACGUCCGGGCAGGGCACUACAAGGAGAAGGUGACCAUCCCAAAGGAGAAGCGAUACAUCUUGCUCGAAGGGGAGGGCCACUCGAGCACGGAGAUCUACUACGACGCCAGCAACAACGGCACAGUCGACGACCUGCUCACGCGCGGCGGCAGCGUGGGCGCCUACGCGUCAGGGACGUUCGAGAGUGCCACCUUCACCAUCCUCGCCGACGACUUCGUCGCCCGGGACAUCGCCUUCAUGAACUCACACAACGGUUUUGACAAGCGAAACGUGAGUCAGGCGGUGGCCGCGCUGGUCGGCGGCGACCGGAGCGCCUUCUACGGCUGCGCGUUCACCGGCUUCCAGGAUACACUUUGCGACUACACUGGCAGGCACUACUUCCGCGGCUGCUUCAUCAAGGGCGCCGUCGACUUCAUCUUCGGUUACGGCCAGUUCAUCUACGACGGCUGCACCGUCGUGUCCAACGUGCCCAUGUCGCACAGCCGGCAGCCCGGGUGGGUGACGGUGCACGGCAGGUUGGGCGCCGGCAGCCCCGGUGGGCUGGUGUUCAAGGGCGGCGAGAUCGGGGGGACUGGUCGCCAGUACCUCGGUCGCGCGUGGAACAAGUAUGCCACUGUCGUCUUUUACCACGUGAACAUGUCCGGCGUCGUUAUCCCGCAAGGAUGGGAUGGCUCGAAGAACAUCGGCCCUGAUACGAUGUUCGCGGAAGUUGGCAUCACCGGGCCGGGGUCAGACAUGGCCAUGAGAGUGCCGUGGGAGAAGCAGCUGACCGAGGUGGAGGUGAAGAGGUUCGUGGACAUCAGCUUCAUCGAUGACGGUUGGCUAGCCAAGCAGCCAUAG
rnacentral:rRNA from 1 species